rnacentral:rRNA from 1 species
GAUGAACGCUGGCGGCGUGCUUAACACAUGCAAGUCGAACGAAGCAUUUAGAACAGAUUAUUUCGGUAUGAAGUUCUUUAUGACUGAGUGGCGGACGGGUGAGUAACGCGUGGGUAACGUGCCUUGUACUGUGGGAUAGCAGCUGGAAACGACUGGUAAUACCGCAUACGGCCACAAUGGUGCAUGACAUUGGGUGAAAAACUCCGGUGGUAUAGGAUGGACCCGCGUCUGAUUAGCUAGUUGGUGAGAUAACAGCCCACCAAGGCGACGAUCAGUAGCCGACCUGAGAGGGUGACCGGCCACAUUGGGACUGAGACACGGCCCAGACUCCUACGGGAGGCAGCAGUGGGGAAUAUUGCACAAUGGAGGAAACUCUGAUGCAGCGACGCCGCGUGAGUGAAGAAGUAAUUCGUUAUGUAAAGCUCUAUCAGCAGGGAAGAUAGUGACGGUACCUGACUAAGAAGCUCCGGCUAAAUACGUGCCAGCAGCCGCCGUAA